rnacentral:lncRNA from 12 species
AGUUUGAAAGUUCAGUUACUCUUUGAUUGAAAACAAGACCUUUUUGUUGCUUGUGUGUCCUAGUUUCCUUAUGAGACACCUGUAAGUACUACAGAUGAUGUUAAGAGCCCAAGCUACAAUGGAGCAUGUCUGACUCACCUCACUGAAAUACUGGUAGACAAACUGCUUGUGCUGUAAGAUGUUGGAUGAAGCAAAUGUAUGAAGAAAACCAUUCCCCAGAGACACUGAAGAUCUUAAUAAUGUGAGAGGGCUACAGACGGCUUAAUAAGUUACUCAUGUUUACUGUCAGAUGUUGAUGCUCUUAUUUAGCCACGGAAAUAAAUCAAACUGCAAGCUGUCCCACUGGAAGACAGGACAUUUCUGCAGUGAUCCAUAUAAUGAAAGGCAUAAAGCAUCAAUCCUUAAAUUGCUUAAGGAGGAAAGAAG